rnacentral:rRNA from 1 species
CKMMGGSCGKUCWAYMAUGCAAGUCGAGMGGASUUGMYAGGAGAGCUUGCUCUCCUGAUGGUUAGCGGCGGACGGGUGAGUAACACGUAGGCAACCUGCCUGCAAGACCGGGAUWACCCACGGAAACRUGAGCUAAUACCGGAUAUCUCAUUUYCUCUCCUGRGGGRAUGAUGAAAGACGGAGCAAUCUGUCACUUGCGGAUGGGCCUGCGGCGCAUUAGCUAGUUGGUGAGGUAACGGCUCACCAAGGCGACGAUGCGUAGCCGACCUGAGAGGGUGAACGGCCACACUGGGACUGAGACACGGCCCAGACUCCUACGGGAGGCAGCAGUAGGGAAUCUUCCGCAAUGGGCGAAAGCCUGACGGAGCAACGCCGCGUGAGUGAUGAAGGUUUUCGGAUCGUAAAGCUCUGUUGCCAGGGAAGAACGUCCGRUAGAGUAACUGCUAUCGGAGUGACGGUACCUGAGAAGAAAGCCCCGGCUAACUACGUGCCAGCAGCCGCGGUAAUACGUAGGGGGCAAGCGUUGUCCGGAAUUAUUGGGCGUAAAGCGCGCGCAGGCGGUCAUUUAAGUCUGGUGUUUAAGGCCAAGGCUCAACCUUGGUUCGCACUGGAAACUGGGUGACUUGAGUGCAGAAGGAGGAGAGUGGAAUUCCACGUGUAGCGGUGAAAUGCGUAGAUAUGUGGAGGAACACCAGUGGCGAARGCGACUCUCUGGGCUGUAACUGACCUGAGGCGCGAAAGCGUGGGGGAGCAAACAGGAUUAAAUACCCUGGURUCCACGCCGUAACAAUGAAUGCUAGGUGUUAKGGGUUUUCGAUACCYCUKGGUGGCCGRAAGUUAAACACAUUUWAGCAUUCCGCSCUGGGGRAGUACCGGUCSCCAGAAMUGAAAMCUCAAAAGGAAAUUGAACGGGGAACSCGCMMCWAGCCAGUKGGARUAAUGUGGUUUAAAUUYCGAAAACCAACCSCCGAARRAAACCGUUACCCAGGUCUKUGARACAUCYCYUYUKAARCCGGCUMUMRGAGAUGRUU